CUCACAUUCAAAAUUCAAAAUUCAAAACCUCUGAUGAUUCAAAAUUCUGGCUCCAUAUUCAAAAUUCAAAUCAUAGUAUAAAAAUAUCUUUUUAAUUUCUCAAAGCUUAUAAAUUCUCAACUCUCUCUCUCUCUCUCUUUCUCUCUCUCUCUCAAAGCCCUAAUUCUUUUCAAUCUGAAUUCGUUCAAUCCGGGCUAAUCGAUUGGAUUCGUAGAAACUAAAACAAAAUCACCAGAAGAAAUAAUCGGAGACCGAUCUAUACGAUUAUACAAUUAUUAUACGACGGUGGAGAUGAAAUAGAAUAGGUUUGGGGAGAUUAGAAUCUGUUUUUAGUGUGUGACUGCCGAUCCUUACGGCACUGGAGGUUUUGGAUAACGCGAUGAGUGCUUGGAGUUGAUUUCGAAGUCGAUUAAGAACUUUAAGGUGUUGGUGUUCUUGCGAGGGUUUCUGAUGGACUAGCUGCUAUUGCCGCCAAUUGCAGGAUUGUGCGAAAUUCAUUAAUUACAACCGGUAUAGAUCGGAAUGACCAGCCAACAUGUAUGAAGCUGCACAAUGGAAAAAAAUGUGGUGUAAUAUAAAUCAACAAUAAUAAUAUAAGAAGGGAAGCCUAGCAAAUUGUGAAAGGAUGUUGAAAUACCAAAGUAUUCAACGGUUGUCCAUUUCAUAGGUGUAGACACAAUGAAAACUUUUUUUAAUAUGCUCAAAUUGUGAAGGGGGUAAACUUAAUGUACACAUAUAAGAGACUUUUUAGGGGAACAGAUAGUGAGCUUAGCCUUAUUGGAAGAUUAGCUGCGGUGCUUGUGCUGGUAAUUUGAAUUCGGCCGAGAUAUCGUUCUAACAAUUGAAGAUGCACUAGACGCUCUGUACGGUUGCCGAGAUAUCAGUAGAUCUGUGUUUUGUAUUCGGCCAACCAUUAACAUAAGUUCAAGGUUCAUAUAUUGCUAGCGAGUCAUUUAGGGUUUGGUGCAAGAAAAAAAAAAAAUGAUGAAGAGUGUGAUGGCUUGGUGAAAUCAAAGAGGGCAUUUACAGAUUUCUAUUGCUUAAAAAGUGUGAUGGGUUGAUGAAAUCAUAUUUUCGUUCCGAUUUUGGUCAAACAUAAAGGUCAACAAGACUGAAAAGCUUUCUAUGUUUGAUGUAGCAAUGAGGUACAGAGAAGCUGGACUCGACACAAUCGUUUUGGCUGGAGCUGAAUAUGGAAGUGGAAGUUCACGAGACUGGGCUGCUAAAGGUCCAAUGCUAUAGGGGGUGAAAGCGGUGAUAGCCAAGAGUUUCGAGAGAAUCCAUAGGAGCAACUUGGUUGGAAUGGGUAUCAUUCCACUUUGUGAUGAUCUGUUUUUUUUUAUUAUGGACAAAAAUCUGUAAGAACUUGGAGUCUUGAAUUGAGAGAUAUCAAGGGAGGUUAGGGUUUUACUUAUAUUGCUUUCGGCUGGUAGUAUGCUAAGGCAGAGGUUAGUGUUAUUUUUGUAGUUAAUUGAUGAAUUUCGUAAUGUUUACAUAGAGUAAGGUAUGUUUAAAUAUAGUGAUUGAUGAAUUUCGUAAUGUUUACAUACAGUAAGGUAUGCUAAGGCAAAGUAAUCUUCCGAUUUGAGGGAGAUGGCAGAAUCAGUAUCUUCAAACCCUAAUUCUGUUGAAUUUGUUAAUUCAAAGUUUUGAUUUUAAAAUUUUAGCUGAUAUUACAAUUUUAAGAGUUAUAUUUUAGUGAUGUUAUGGAUCAUGUGAAUAUAGGAACAGGCACCUUAUGUAGCCAAAGCUGAGAAAAUGAAGGCCGAGUAUGAGAAGACCAUGGAAGCCUACAACAAAAAGCAGCAGCAAGAAGAAGAUCAUAAGCAAAGAAAAGCCCGUGGACAUUAGAGUGAUGUAUCACGCGAGUUUGAUUGCAGAAAAUAAAUGAAAGCAAAAAGAAUUCUUCUGGAUUGGUUUCCCGGGUUUUUUUAAUCACAAAACAGAUCAAAUGACGUGAAUCGCAGUCAAGCGCAUGGCUAUGCGAGUUAAUAUGGUCAAGGGACUGAUAGGGGAUGUGGUCAUGGGAAUGAUCAGGCUAGGAGAAGCUGAAACUAUCUAGGAAUUGCAUCGAGAGAUCUUAGAGAUCAACUAUAGCGAGAAAGAGAAAAGAAUGAGACAUGGAUCCUCGGAGACGAGUUAAGUGUAUUUAUUUCCCAAUUAAGCUUAUUCUAAUUUAGAUUAGUUUCUAAAGAAAAAGGACGAACGGAUCUUAAUAUGGAGAUGAAUAUAGGAAAAUAUUAUAAAUUCGAAGAUUUAAUAAAAUGGUUUAUUUUAAUUGUUUUGGUUUAUCAAUUAAUUGUUUUGUUUUACUGAUUAUGAGUUUGUUUCAAUGA